rnacentral:rRNA from 1 species
UACGUAGGUGGCAAGCGUUGUCCGGAUUUAUUGGGUUUAAAGGGUGCGUAGGCGGCCCUGUAAGUCAGUGCUGAAAUAUCCCAGCUUAACUGGGAGGGUGGCAUUGAUACUGCGGGGCUAGAGUACAGAUGAGGUAGGCGGAAUUCACGGUGUAGCGGUGAAAUGCUUAGAUAUCGUAAGGAAGACCAGUGGCGAAGGCGGGUCUCUGGACAGUUCCUGACGCUGAGGCACGAAGGCCAGGGGAGCAAACGGG